UACAGAGGCCCCAAGCGUUACUGAGAAUCACUGGGUUUAAAGGGUGCGUAGGUGGCGCGUUAAGUCCGUUGUGAAAUCCCUGGGCUCAACCCAGGAAUUGCUUCGGAUACUGGCGUGCUUGAGGCCGGUAGGGGUCACUGGAACUGACGGUGGAGCGGUGAAAUGCGUAGAUAUCGUCAGGAACGCCGAUGGUGAAGACAGGUGACUGGGCCGGAACUGACACUGAGGCACGAAAGCGUGGGGAGCAAACAGG
rnacentral:rRNA from 1 species